rnacentral:rRNA from 1 species
AUUGAACGCUGGCGGCAGGCCUAACACAUGCAAGUCGAACGAGUGGCGGACGGGUGAGUAAUGUCUGGGAAACUGCCCGAUGGAGGGGGAUAACUACUGGAAACGGUAGCUAAUACCGCAUACCAUCGGAUGUGCCCAUAUGGGAUUAGCUAGUAGGUGAGGUAAUGGCUCACCUAGGCGACGAUCCCUAGCUGGUCUGAGAGGAUGACCAGCCACACUGGAACUGAGACACGGCCCAGACUCCUACGGGAGGCAGCAGUGGGGAAUAUUGCACAAUGGGCGCAAGCCUGAUGCAGCCAUGCCGCGUGUGUGAAGAAGGUCUUCGGGUUGUAAAGUACUUUCAGUUGGGAGGCGUUACCGACAGAAUAAGCACCGGCUAACUCCGUGCCAGCAGCCGCGGUAAUUC